ACGCAAUAGAUACCCGGGUAGUCCACGCCCUAAACGAUGUCUACUAGUUGUCGGGUCUUAAUUGACUUGGUAAACGCAGCUAAACGCGUGAAGUAGACCGCCUGGGGAGUACGGUCGCAAGAUUAAAACUCAAAGGAAUUGACGGGGACCCGCACAAGCGGUGGAUGAUGUGGAUUAAUUCGAUGCAACGCGAAAAACCUUACCUACCCUUGACAUGGAUGGAAUCCCUGAGAGAUUGGGGAGGUGCUCGAAAGAGAACCAUUACACAGGUGCUGCAUGGCUGUCGUCAGCUCGUGUCGUGAGAUGUUGGGUUAAGUCCCGCAACGAGCGCAACCCUUGUCAUUAGUUGCUACGAAAGGGUCACUCUAAUGAGACUGCCGGUGACAAACCGGAGAAGGUGGGGAUGACGUCAAGUCCUCAUGGCCCUUAUGGGUA
rnacentral:rRNA from 1 species